AACGAACGCUGGCGGCAGGCCUAACACAUGCAAGUCGAGCGAGGACUUCGGUCCUAGCGGCGGACGGGUGAGUAACGCGUGGGAACGUGCCCUUUGGUACGGAAUAGCCCCGGGAAACUGGGAGUAAUACCGUAUGGUGUCUUCGGACUAAAGAUUUAUCGCCAAAGGAUCGGCCCGCGUUGGAUUAGGUAGUUGGUGGGGUAAUGGCCUACCGAGCCGACGAUCCAUAGCUGGUUUGAGAGGAUGAUCAGCCACACUGGGACUGAGACACGGCCCAGACUCCUACGGGAGGCAGCAGUGGGGAAUCUUAGACAAUGGGGGCAACCCUGAUCUAGCCAUGCCGCGUGAGUGAUGAAGGCCCUAGGGUUGUAAAGCUCUUUCAGCUGGGAAGAUAAUGACGGUACCAGCAGAAGAAGCCCCGGCUAACUCCGUG
rnacentral:rRNA from 1 species